rnacentral:rRNA from 1 species
CUGAGCUUCCUCUGCCUCAGCCAAAAGCAAGCACGGCCUCCUCUCCCCCACACACCACGCCUACGCCCCGAGUGCCCGACAGGCCACAUCAAUCACGCAGCCAUAGUACCAGCAGCUGCUACUAUCGCUAGGGAGCUCGGCGAGUGCGACGCCGAGGGGGAUCGAGAUGGCGGGCGGCGGAGGGCUGGGGAAGGUGAAGGCGGGGAGCCGGCCGCCGUGGGUGGGGCUGGCGGCGGCGGUGUGGGUGCAGGUGGCGGCCGGCAGCGCCUACGUCUUCCCGCUCUACUCCCACGCCGUCAAGGAGGCGCUCGGGUACAACCAGAAGGCGCUCACCAUGCUGGGCGUCGCCAACGACGUCGGCGAGAACGUGGGGCUCGUCCCCGGGGUGCUCGCUAACCGCCUCCCGCCCUGGCUCAUCCUCCUCAUCGGCUCCGCCUGCGC